rnacentral:rRNA from 1 species
GGAAUAUUGGUCAAUGGGCGGAAGCCUGAACCAGCCAAGUAGCGUGUGGGACGACGGCCCUACGGGUUGUAAACCACUUUUGCGCGGGGAUAACCGCCCCCACCUGUGGGGGCCUGCAGGUACCGCGCGAAUAAGGACCGGCUAAUUCCGGGCCAGCAGCCGCGGUAAUACGGAAGGUCCGGGCGUUAUCCGGAUUUAUUGGGUUUAAAGGGAGCGUAGGCGGGGCGUUAAGCGUGCUGUGAAAAGCCGCGGCUCAACCGUGGUCGUGCAGCGCGAACUGUCGCCCUUGAGUGCGCGGGAGGCACGCGGAAUUCGUGGUGUAGCGGUGAAAUGCUUAGAUAUCACGAGGAACGCCGAUUGCGAAGGCAGCGUGCCGUAGCGUUACUGACGCUGAAGCUCGAAGGUGCGGGUAUCGAACA